rnacentral:misc_RNA from 1 species
CUUGAAUACGUAAUUAGAUUGCAUUUGAGCCGGGGCACAGCAGGAAAGUUCCCGCUGAAAAUAUGGAGCAGCCCGACUGGGGCAGUACCUCGACCUUACAGGAUACCACAGCUAAAUAAAACUCCUUUAAACAGUUUUGUGUACCAGUUGGUGAGUAAGGUAAACAGACCUCCUGGUUGCGUUUCCCAUGCUUCUGGCGUUGCCGACGUCUAUAUACUACGGCAAUUCCUUACCAACAGGUGAGCUAUACGCUUAUUUGACGACUUAGUUAUAAUGAAAAAAUAAUUAUAGAAAAAACAAUUUCGAAUCAAUUUUGCUUUUACUGAAAACGGUAAAAGUGAAUUUAUGUGAUGUGUAUCACUGGAACCUUUUGGCUUUCAUUAAAAAAAAAAUCCUCGAUAUGAAUCCCGAAUAUAAAUAAGUUAUUAGAAUUUUUUUUUGUUUACAUAAUAUGUACACAAAUGAUUACUAUGUAUCCAUAUUUAUUAUUUAAUAUAAAUUU